rnacentral:rRNA from 1 species
GACGAACGCUGGCGGCGUGCUUAACACAUGCAAGUCGAACGGAAAGGCCCUGCUUGCAGGGUACUCGAGUGGCGAACGGGUGAGUAACACGUGGGUGAUCUGCCCUGCACUUCGGGAUAAGCCUGGGAAACUGGGUCUAAUACCGGAUAGGAGCCAUUUUUAGUGUGAUGGUUGGAAAGUUUUAUCGGUGUAGGAUGAGCUCGCGGCCUAUCAGCUUGUUGGUGGGGUAAUGGCCUACCAAGGCGGCGACGGGUAGCCGGCCUGAGAGGGUGGACGGCCACAUUGGGACUGAGAUACGGCCCAGACACCUACGGGAAGCAGCAGUGGGGAAUAUUGCACAAUGAGCGCAAGCCUGAUGCAGCGACGCCGCGUGGGGGAUGACGGCCUUCGGGUUGUAAACUCCAUUCGCUAGGGACGAAGCUUUUUGUGACGGUACCUAGAUAAGAAGCACCGGCUAACUACGUG